GGGUACAGUCAAGUACUUGUGAAGUCUGUAUGUAGAUCAAGAUGGGAUUGAUCCCUCUAAAUUAUUGAAGUUGAUAUAUCACUAUAUUUUAAUUUAGCAAAGUCUUAGCUAGGAUAAUCUAUGAGAUAGAUUUGAAAGGUUGAAAUGCAAUACGGAUGAAGCAAUCUCGAUUGAUAGUUAACCUGAGACCAUCUUAGAACAUCCAGGGUCAAAAAGA
rnacentral:lncRNA from 1 species